AGAGUUUGAUCCUGGCUCAGGAUGAACGCUAGCGGCAGGCUUAACACAUGCAAGUCGAGGGGUAACAGGGAUUGCUUGCAAUCCGCUGACGACCGGCGCACGGGUGCGUAACGCGUAUGCAACCUACCUUCUACAGGGGGAUAGUCAAUAGAAAUGUUGAAUAAUACCCCAUACGAUCUUUGAAUAGCAUUAUUUAAAGAAGAAAGUUCCGACGGUAGAAGAUGGGCAUGCGUCCUAUUAGUUAGUUGGAGAGGUAACGGCUCCCCAAGACAUCGAUAGGUAGGGGUCCUGAGAGGGAGACCCCCCACACUGGUACUGAGACACGGACCAGACUCCUACGGGAGGCAGCAGUGAGGAAUAUUGGACAAUGGAGGCAACUCUGAUCCAGCCAUGCCGCGUGCAGGAAGACUGCCCUAUGGGUUGCAAACUGCUUUUAUACAGGAAGAAAUGUACCUACGUGUAGGUAUUUGACGGUACUGUACGAAUAAGGAUCGGCUAACUCCGUGCCAGCAGCCGCGGUAAU
rnacentral:rRNA from 1 species